GACGUAGGGCGCGAGCGUUGUCCGGAUUUAUUGGGCGUAAAGAGCUCGUAGGCGGCUUGUCGCGUCGUCCGUGAAAACCCUGCGGCUCAACUCUGGACAGGCGGUGGAAACUACCAAGCUGGAGUACGGUGAGGGCAGAGGGAAUUUCCGGUGGAGCGGUGAAAUGCGUAGAGAUCGGAAAGAACACCAACGGCGAAAGCACUCUGCUGGGCCGACACUGACACUGAGAGACGAAAGCUAGGGGAGCGAAUGGG
rnacentral:rRNA from 1 species